AUUAGCGCUACUUUACCAAGACAGGUUUAUAUGUGUAUGAUCUUCAGGCUUUGCCUAACCAGGUGGCUUACUUCCAAAUGUACAAAGUAUGAUUGAGUUAUUAAGCUCUAAAUGUUUCAAUGAAAUGCAAAUUGUUUAUUUAAUAUAAUGAAAACUGUUUAUCCAAUAAAAUAUUUUGUGCACUCUGCUCCGUUUAAGGCUCGCAACAAUGAAUCGAUCGAGGUUCUCUCUUGACCUAACACGUUAUUUGAGAAUUGUGUACACCUAUUAGCUGACCUGGUGGGUUGAUCUCCAUCGGGCACUAAUCAUGUAUGAGGCGUUAUAAGGGUGCUCGACGGGAUGUGUUCCGGAGCAUUGGGUCCCAAAUGAGAACUUGGCUGGGUUACGCCCUCAGUCCAAGUAAAGCAGGAGUAAUGGAUCCGUCGGUGGCUAAAAGGUCCGGGAUCACAGCGAGUAACGGAAAUGGAGUGUGACAUGUGCGCACAAAUGAAAAAUGUUUUAACAUCUUAGAAGUUAUUUCAUUUUAAAACCUUCUAAGUCAUGUCAAGUAUAAUUGGAUAAACUGCUCUUACGAAAAUAUGAAAUGUUUAUGAAAAUGCAUGCCCACUAAGUACAUUAGUACUUAGCCCAAAAAUACUUUCAAAUGUUUUCAGGUUGGCUGGCUGGUGCUGACGGGACGGAGCUGAGGCUAGAGUUAAAAUUCUAUAUGUUAGACUUCCGCUGUAGCAAUUACUCUUAUACAUCUUUGUUUUCUCAACUUAAGAUGACUUCAUGUCGAGCUUAAAUUUGAAAUUCUAGUUUUAUGCUAAUGAAUGUUGGUUGUCAGAAACAUGAACAAAACUUGUGAUCCAAAGGGGCAUAGCCCGACUUUCUAUCCUAUUUCGGGUUUU
rnacentral:lncRNA from 1 species